rnacentral:rRNA from 1 species
GGCGGCAGGCCUAAUACAUGCAAGUCGAACGGAUCCUUCGGGAUUAGUGGCGGACGGGUGAGUAACACGUGGGAACGUGCCCUUUGGUUCGGAACAACUCAGGGAAACUUGAGCUAAUACCGAAUGUGCCCUUCGGGGGAAAGAUUUAUCGCCAUUGGAGCGGCCCGCGUCUGAUUAGCUAGUUGGUGGGGUAAAGGCCCACCAAGGCGACGAUCAGUAGCUGGUCUGAGAGGAUGAUCAGCCACACUGGGACUGAGACACGGCCCAGACUCCUACGGGAGGCAGCAGUAGGGAAUCUUGCGCAAUGGGCGAAAGCCUGACGCAGCCAUGCCGCGUGAAUGAUGAAGGUCUUAGGAUUGUAAAAUUCUUUCAGCGGGGACGAUAAUGACGGUACCCGCAGAAGAAGCCCCGGCUAACUUCGUGCCAGCAGCCGCGGUAAUACGAAGGGGGCUAGCGUUGCUCGGAAUUACUGGGCGUAAAGGGCGCGUAGGCGGAUGUCUUAGUCAGAUGUGAAAGCCCAGGGCUCAACCUUGGAACUGCCUUUGAUACUGGACAUCUUGA